rnacentral:rRNA from 1 species
CUCAUGGAUGGGCGCAGCCUGAUCCAGCAAUGCCGCGUGAGUGAAGAAGGCCUUCGGGUUGUAAAGCUCUUUUGUCAGGGAAGAAACGGCCGCGGCUAAUAUCUGCGGCUAAUGACGGUACCUGAAGAAUAAGCACCGGCUAACUACGUGCCAGCAGCCGCGGUAAUACGUAGGGUGCAAGCGUUAAUCGGAAUUACUGGGCGUAAAGCGUGCGCAGGCGGUUUUGUAAGUCUGACGUGAAAGCCCCGGGCUCAACCUGGGAAUUGCGUUGGAGACUGCAAGGCUUGAAUCUGGCAGAGGGGGGUAGAAUUCCACGUGUAGCAGUGAAAUGCGUAGAGAUGUGGAGGAACACCGAUGGCGAAGGCAGCCCCCUGGGUCAAGAUUGACGCUCAUGCACGAAAGCGUGGGGAGCAAACAGGAUUAGAUACCCUGGUAGUCCACGCCCUAAACGAUGUCUACUAGUUGUCGGGUCUUAAUUGACUUGGUAACGCAGCUAACGCGUGAAGUAGACCGCCUGGGGAGUACGGUCGCAAGAUUAAAACUCAAUGAAAUUUGACGGA